CGGGGCUUAACCCCGGAUCUGCGGUGGGUACGGGCAGACUAGAGUGCAGUAGGGGAGACUGGAAUUCCUGGUGUAGCGGUGGAAUGCGCAGAUAUCAGGAGGAACACCGAUGGCGAAGGCAGGUCUCUGGGCUGUAACUGACGCUGAGGAGCGAAAGCAUGGGGAGCGAACAGGAUUAGAUACCCUGGUAGUCCAUGCCGUAAACGUUGGGCACUAGGUGUGGGGACCAUUCCACGGUUUCCGCGCCGCAGCUAACGCAUUAAGUGCCCCGCCUGGGGAGUACGGCCGCAAGGCUAAAACUCAAAGGAAUUGACGGGGGCCCGCACAAGCGGCGGAGCAUGCGGAUUAAUUCGAUGCAACGCGAAGAACCUUACCAAGGCUUGACAUGUUUUCGAUCGCCGUGGAGACACGGUUUCCCCUUUGGGGCGGAUUCACAGGUGGUGCAUGGUUGUCGUCAGCUCGUGUCGUGAGAUGUUGGGUUAAGUCCCGCAACGAGCGCAACCCUCGUUCCAUGUUGCCAGCACGUUGUGGUGGGGACUCAUGGGAGACUGCCGGGGUCAACUCGGAGGAAGGUGAGGACGACGUCAAAUCAUCAUGCCCCUUAUGUCUUGGGCUUCACGCAUGCUACAAUGGCCGGUACAAUGGGUUGCGAUACUGUGAGGUGGAGCUAAUCCCAAAAAGCCGGUCUCAGUUCGGAUUGGGGUCUGCAACUCGACCCCAUGAAGUCGGAGUCGCUAGUAAUCGCAGAUCAGCAACGCUGC
rnacentral:rRNA from 1 species